rfam:Lactobacillus johnsonii prophage Lj771, complete genome.
GGUAACUUAGCUCAGUUGGUAGAGCAUUGGUGUGAAGUACCAAGUUAGCGGUGGUUCGAUCCCAUCAGUUGCCA